GCCCAGCCCCUGGCAGGCCCCCGGCAGCGGUGGGGUUAUGGGGCUGCCUGGGGGCCCUGCGGAGCGGUGGGGAAGCGCUCUGGCCGCUCCACUGUAAUGGCGCCGGGCGGCUGAGGCCGGCAGAGGCGCAGCCUGGGCGCGACGGCGGCAGCCGGGGAGGGGCCCGCGGGCGGCGGCUGGGUUGUCGCUGUGGGGUCUCGCUCCGUGGGGCCUUGCGUCUCUUCAGCGAAAUCCCGCGGGGAGUGCGUGGGCCGCUAGGGCUGAGGCUCCCGAGAUCCUGCCGCCGUCUUGGGCUUAAAGCAAAGAUGUCCUUGGCGUCACCUGGUGUAGCUGUUUGCGGGGAGAGGGGAAGAUGGUGGUCAGCUAGAAAAGCAGUAAUGCUCAACUUCAGUGUUGGCUGCAAAUAAAGGAACUGCUGGAUCUUGGAAUUUGAAGAGCAGGGACAGGUAGAAGUGAAACCACAUCUUAGAGUCAGGCAAGCUUAUCUUUUUUACAGAAUACUUCUGCAGAUACCAUGCACAACCUUACCUUGGAGAGGAAGGAAAUGCCUUAGGUUAUAAGGGUGGAAGAUAACUGACUGCUAUAUGAACUGGAGCUAUAAUAGUGUGCUUUGACUUUGUGCAUUUCUUUAUGGACAAAGAAGAAAUUAAGUUUCUUUAGGUGCCACAGAAGACCUAUUGUAUUGCUGCUAACUUGUGCAUACAACACUCAUGCCUCCUGAGCACUACAGAACUCUGCAACAAUUUAUAGCCUGGAAUGUAUCAUCUGCCCAUGAGUCAUCAAGUCCCAGUCAAGCUGUAAUACUGCUGGAGAGCUGUUUCACUUUAGUUUCUGAACAAAUAGUGGCCCCUUUUCUAUGCUGCAGGACUCUGGGGACAGGAUCUCCUUGAAUGCUAGUGAGGAGGAGGAUAAGGUGUUUUCUUAGCUCUUGCAAAAGGUAGUACAUAAUGUCCUGUCACAGAUGAAGUAUACCUUCCAAGCCUAGACCAGCCUUCAGGAAGCAGCAGUCAAAAUAGCCACUUCUUUGGCCUUGCAGCACCACUUGUGUAACAGUAUAAAGACAUAAUGGUGUCCAGAACAUGCAGUACCCCUGCUUCCAUAGGAUGGCUGUUGUCUACUUCUUGACAUGGCAGGUACACUUAAAACAGAAUGAGUACAAAGCUGUGGAUUAGGUUAACAAGUUGGUGUUUAAAGUUUUUCUUCUGGACCUGGUCCUAAACUGCUUCUGCAACACCUGAAAUGACAGGUGCCUGAAGAUUAUCUAUCCUGAAGAUAAAAAGAGCAUAGGCAGUCUUAAGACUGGAGAGAGAUUGAAAACAGGUACAACAAAUUACAGGGAGAUUGAGCUGUCAUCUUUGAGCAUGUAAAAAUAACUUGUGUUCAUGUUUGUUCAAGAAUAUAAGUGAUUACACCUAGAAUACACUGGAAUACUGAGCCUAAAAGAAGCAGGGCAAGAAGAGAUACUAAGCAAAGAAAAUCCUGGCAGGUGGGAAUCAGCGUGAACUGGCCCGCCAAAAGAACCUGAAGAAGACUCAGGAGAUCCACAAAGGGAAAAGGAAAGAAGAUAGCUUGUCUGCUUCUCAGAGAAAACAGAGAGACUCUGAAAUCAUGCAGCAAAAACAAAAAGCGGCCAAUGAAAGGAAGUCUCUGCAGGCAGGAGCAAAAUGAACUGUCUCUACGGAGGAGAUCUAAUGAGUGCAUCAAUGAAGCUAAAGGGCCUAGAAGA